GGGGUGAUAGUUUAACGGUGAAAAUAGUCGCCAGCAUAGCUGAGACUGUUGUGUGGUUCAAUUCCCACUCACUCCACCA
rnacentral:tRNA from 1 species